rnacentral:rRNA from 1 species
CCUACGGGAGGCAGCAGUGGGGAAUAUUGGGCAAUGGGCGCAAGCCUGACCCAGCAACGCCGCGUGAAGGAAGAAGGCUUUCGGGUUGUAAACUUCUUUUCUCAGGGACGAAGCAAGUGACGGUACCUGAGGAAUAAGCCACGGCUAACUACGUGCCAGCAGCCGCGGUAAUACGUAGGUGACAAGCGUUAUCCGGAUUUACUGGGUGUAAAGGGCGUGUAGGCGGGGACGCAAGUCAGAUGUGAAAACCACGGGCUCAACCUGUGGCCUACAUUUGAAACUGUGUUUCUUGAGUACUGGAGGGGCAGACGGAAUGCCUAGGGGAGCGGUGAAAUGCGUAGAUAUUAGGGGGAACACCAGUGGCGAAGGCGGUCGGCUGGACAGCAACUGACGCUGAGGCGCGAAAGCGUGGGGAGCAAACAGGAUGAGAGACCCCAGUAGUC